rnacentral:rRNA from 1 species
UGCUCCAAUAGCGUAUAUUAAAGUUGUUGCAGUUAAAAAGCUCGUAGUUGGAUUUCUGGUGGGAGCGUUGGGCCGGCCCUAAGGGUCUGAGCUCAAAUGUUUUCCGCCAUCCUUGGAGGGAUGUUGUCUGGCAUUAAGUUGUCGGGCUUCCGAUCUCCAUCGUUUACUGUGAAAAAAUUAGAGUGUUCAAAGCAGGCUUAUGCCGUUGAAUACAUUAGCAUGGAAUAAUAAGAUAGGACCUUGGUACUAUUUUGUUGGUUUGCGUACCUAGGUAAUGAUUAAUAGGGACAGUUGGGGAUGUUACUAUUUCGUUGUCAGAGGUGAAAUUCUUGGAUUUACGAAAGAGUAACUACUGCGAAAGCAUUUAUCAAGGAUGUUUUCACUAAUCAAGAACGAAAGU